GUCCGUUGUGGGAUCGUUCGGACGGAUUGCAAAUCCGUUAUUCGUGGGUUCGAAUCCCACCUCGGCCU
rnacentral:tRNA from 1 species